GUCUUGGAUGUUGUGCAUCUGAUUCCUUACAACAGGACUCUCGAUCCGUCUAGCGACAAGACUAGAUAUUGGGCAGCUGCUGAUAUGGACAGGGAUGCUGACACAGUUGGAGGGAGGGCUCACGUUUUAAGCCAAGAAUUUGCCCGGAGGUGGCCGAACUGUCUGGUUGCUCCAUGGCAUUCUAACAGUAUGAUUGAUGUUGAUGAGUUCGUCGGAUAUUUUGAGAAGCCAAUCACCAAAGAAAAGGACAAGAAGAAGAAGCAAAAUAAGUAAAUGUGAUCCCUCGGUUCCUGAAAUCUGUCACACUUUUGUUUUUUCAUCUCCCUCUCAGACUACCUCUAGCUCUAGAAUUUGUCUUUGCAAGAGAGGAUGGAACUUAAGAAAUAGAAUUCAGGCGCCGUCCUAGGAGGCUUAGCUUUUGCUUGGAUGUGUCUUUAUUUUCAGUACUCUCUCUCGUCUUUUGAACUGUUGUCGUGCUUCAGGUUUUUGCACCUGAUUGGUGCAGUAGACAGCCUAUGGGCUAGUGUUUGUUCCGUAACUUUGGCUGUAGUUCAUCCAUGAGUGGAUGGGCGAGGCCGGAUUGUUUUCUUUCCUUAAUCUAAAAACGCUCUAGAAUUUGUUCUCUGGUUCUGUAAUAUUCAGUUUCUGUACUGUCACUUGUCCUUCAA